UGUGUAGGCGGUUCUCUAAGUUCCGUGUGAAAUCUCCCGGCUUAACUGGGAGGGUGCGCGGGAAACUGGAGGGCUGGAGUAUGGGAGAGGAAAGCGGAAUUCCUGGUGUAGCGGUGAAAUGCGUAGAUAUCAGGAGGAACACCUGCGGUGUAGACAGCUUUCUGGACCAUCACUGACGCUGAGACACGAAAGCGUGGGUAGCAAACA
rnacentral:rRNA from 1 species